UACGUAGGGUGCGAGCGUUGUCCGGAAUUAUUGGGCGUAAAGAGCUCGUAGGCGGUGUGUCGCGUCGGUCGUGAAAACUUGGGGCUUAACCCUGAGCUUGCGGUCGAUACGGGCAUCACUGGAGUUCGGCAGGGGAGAGUGGAAUUCCUGGUGUAGCGGUGAAAUGCGCAGAUAUCAGGAAGAACACCAAUGGCGAAAGCAGCUCUCUGGGACGGUACUGACGCUGAGACGCGAAAGCGUGGGGGAGCGAACAGG
rnacentral:rRNA from 1 species